ACACCUCAACUCUUCAUGGUUUUUCUGUGAUGAGCUUGGACUUUGGGGGUUUUGCUGGCCUAUGGUCGGCUCCUCUAAAAUGAAUCAGCUUGUCAGUGUUUGGUGGGCAUCACAGGUGUGAUAAAUAUCUACGCUUGUGGUUUUCCACCAGGUAACCUUCAGCAAUGGAGGUUCGCUGGAGCUCACAGAUGUCUCUCCUCGGUGAGGACGACCCUUUGAAU
rnacentral:misc_RNA from 1 species